UUGUAAUAAAUUAUGAGUUUAAGGACGGCUAUUUAGAAGACCAUUGUAGUUGAAUGAUGUACAAAGAUGGUCUUUCAAACUCGUCUUUGUAUUUUUAUGGCACUGAGUGAGGUGGUUCACUCUCUCUGCCUCUUUCUCUUCUCUGUUCCUAGAAACAAACCAUCAUCUUCUUAGAUCUAUACCAACGUCGAAGGAAAUAAUCUCUUGCCAAAAGCAAAACCCUAAACACUUCCUCCGAGUAUUUACCAGAACCAUAGUUUUUAAAAGCUGAGAGCGUCAAAGGCACAGCUGUCGCGUGGGAAGGUCCCAAUGUGUGCUAGAAAUUAAAAAGAUCAUUGACACCAUUGCCGAAGAAGGGGUCUGUGACCUCACUCGUGUCCCUCUUCCCAGUAGAGGAGGUGCAGAAGGUGGCCAAGCGCGUUGAAGACACCAUUGCCGACAAGCAGAGCGAAAUCAACCGCGUACGAGGUUUUGUCGUCGACAAAACAGCCUCAUCAACCUUGUCCACAAGCUCCUUGAACAGCUCUCCCACGACAUCAUGGUUCCGUUUGGGAAAGCAACAUUCUUCCCAGGUCGUUUGAUUCACACCAAUGAGUUCCUGGUUCUUUUGGGAGAAGGAUAUUAUGCUGAGAGAACUUCGAAGCAAACCGUUGAGAUUUUACAGCGAAGAGGGAAGUCCUUGGAUUCGCGGGUUGAUUCUCUUGAGGCCAAUAUCAAGGACCCAGAAGCAGAGGCUUCAUUUCUCAAUGCCACGGCUUCAUUUUUGGUUGCUAGGUUCUUUUGGGAGAAGGGUAUUAUGCUGAAUUUUUAAUGCUGAAAUGCUGAAUUUGUUCUAUGUUAAUUUUUCCAUUAAAAAUAUUGGGAAUUUUGAUUUUUUAUCUCAAACGUGUAGAGAGACUCGAGAGCCUGUGACCGUCAAUUUUUAUGUGUACAAUGGAAGCAAUUUUUCAUGUUAAUUCUGCAGUUCAAUUCAACUUCUAAUUUGUGAUGUCUAUCUUAUCAAUUAUUUUAUAUGCAUUAUUAUUAUUAUUAUUGGUUUGCUACCAUGGAAAUGACCUAUCAGGGAAGGGAACAGAGUGAAAUAGUAGAGAGAUGGCAGGUGUACUCCUUCACCAGAUGUGCCAAGUUUUACAGUAAUUUAUGGAUGAGUAGACAGCCAGUUUUUGCAUAUUGAGGUAGAGAACCACUUCAAGCAUGUUCAUUUGCUACUCCAAAUGCAUUUGUACCUACUUGGAAAAAUUCUGUAGACCCAAGAAGGAAGGAUUAUGGUAGGACUACCAUCUGGGGAGAACACGGAAAAGAUUUUGAGGAAUCUUUUGGCAAAAGAAAAGGUGGACAACGAAGUUGAGUUUAAGGAACUUGCAACUAUGACAGAAGGAUAUACUGGAAGUGAUCUAAAGAACUUGUGCACAAAUGCUACUUAUCGGCCUGUUAGAGAGCUAAUUCAUCAAGAGAGGCUAAAGAGUCUGUUGUAUGAGAAGGGCACUUGGUGUGGUGGGUCUUCCUAAUCCAUUGAAGAGAAAUUAUUAAAAUAUGAAGUCUGCUCUUAUCUAAAUCACCCUUAUUUAUCCAGAUUAAGAUAACCUUUAGUAGAAUAUAGGAAGCUGCAAAGUUCCUUCUUUUGGGGUAGAGUAAAUUCAUCAAUUAGGAGUUGGUGAGAGAAUGGAAGCCACGUAGCAGAACAAAUCAAAGGUGGUGUUGAUUGAUUCUUUGCAGUCAUGGGAGUUCCAUGUCAACCAAGCCUAUAAUCAGAAUACUCCUUGAAGAACCCAUAAUAAGAGAUAAUGCUAGCGACUUCAGUGACGAUGAGCAACAACACGAUGUUCAUGAACAUGGAGAACCAAACAAUCAAAGUGGGUCAUCUUCAUAUUUUGAAACUAUUAGUAGCCAACUUUCAGAAAAUCAAGAGUAGUCAAAUCCUUAUCAGAACAGAGGCAAUGCUAGUACAAAUAACCUUUAUGAAGGCUUGAUAUUUGAAUCAAAACAAGCAGUUGUGGAUGCCAUUCAACAAUUUCAUUUUGUCAAUUCAUUUAUUUUUCAUGUGGUAAAGAACAAGAGUGACAAGUAUGUUGUCAUGUGUAAUCAAUAUGGUAAUGGAUGUAACUGGAGGGUGAGAGUAUCGUUAAGAAAAAUACACAACAGGUGGGAGUUGAAGAAAAUAAAUGGUAUUCACACUCACACAACUUCUAUCAUAUCAAAAGAUCAUGUUAGGUUAGACUCAUCUGUAAUUGCUUAUAAUAUUUUUUAUUUAGUGAAAACAAAUCUUGGUCUAUCGAAAUCAAAA